UACGUAGGGGGCAAGCGUUGUCCGGAUUUAUUGGGCGUAAAGAGCGUGUAGGCGGUUUUACAGGUCCGCUGUGAAAACUCGAGGCUCAACCUCGAGCUGUCGGUGGAAACCGUAAGGCUAGAGUCCGGAAGAGGAGAAUGGAAUUCCUGGUGUAGCGGUGAAAUGCGCAGAUAUCAGGAAGAACACCCGUGGCGAAGGCGGUUCUCUGGGACGGUACUGACGACUGGAGACGC
rnacentral:rRNA from 1 species